GGCUGCGGGAGGGCUGCGGUCCGUGUCGGCAGCUGCCGUGGCACCGAGCCCAGCGUAGGUGUGCGAGGCGGGGCGGCUUUCCCCGCGCGGUGCGUGGGGUAUGCACAUGGCUCGAGUGCCGUAAUAAGAGAGUAGCUUUGGCAGUGUAAGUUAACCCCUUCUUGAAACAACUUGUUUUUGGAAGACACGCUCUAUUGAGGUGUGCGGGCGGAUCACGCUGGUUUUGCUUCGUUUGUAUUACAUUAUUUGCGAGCUAAGGAUAGACAAAAGGCCUUGCCAAUGCUGCCAGUGGGCUGGGCAGAAGUCUGCUAGCUCCUAAAAAAAAUUAUAUACUUUAUUAUCAUCUGACCGUUGUCAUAAAAAACCCUCAAACUCUCAAAAACCCAACCCAAAGCAAAACAAGAAAAUGCUACUCCUUUCAAUGCCCCCCCGAUUGCUGUCAGCUGCAAGCAGUCAUCAAUACAUUCAGUGCUUGUGCGUGAAAGAUUACAGCCUUGUUGGCAGACAGAAGCAGCUAAACCAGCACAAAAAUCCCAAAGUUCAGGAGUGAACAGUGUCUUAAGAAUGCAUCCCUCUAGUGCUGAACAGCAUGGGCUUUUGGAACGGUGGAUCCUCGUUCAGCUGCACUGUGGCCAGGUGAAAGGGGUGCCUGGCUGCACCCCAGUCAUCAUUCCAGCAGAAGCUGCAGUAACUGCAGUGUUGAGGUUGGAAAGAGACAAUCUAAAAUCUGAAGGAUUUGUCCAAAUUCCAUGAAAAAAAUUGUAUCCAGAAAGCUUUCCAGGACCUGUGAGAUAGAUCUACAGAAUGGUCAGAUGGUUGGAGCAUUGAGACUCAGUAAGCUCCAAAUUAGGAAAAGCCAAGUAGGGAACUUGUAGUUGUUACUCUGACAAGUGCUCUGAGUGAGUACUUUCCUUUAUUGCACAAUCCACAUGAAUUAUUUAAACAUUUACAUUUAUUUAAAUUUACAUUAUUUAAAUUUUAUAUUUUGAUAAGUAUCUGUUGGAACUUGUUCCUUUUUGUAAAUGUUUGGGGUUUUUCCUCUCAUACAACUGGUAUGAGAGUGUUCCACUGUUUGUAUGUAGGUAGUCUUGAGAAGCAUUCACCAAUGAUAUAGUUUUUCUUAACAGUAAUUUCAAUAUCCCAAAUUUUAGGAAGGUAGAAGAAAAAUAAAAUGCACUUAUACAAAAAUCCUAGUUAUACAGAAUAAAAUCAAGUUUUCCUCCCAGAGUUUCCCCAAAGUUAAUAUAUCAGGCCUUAGCUACUACUUUAUAAUAACUACUGUUUGUUUUCAGUAGAAGCUGAGUAAAUGGUUUCUGAACUUUGUUCUGAGAAACAAUAAAUGUGGGCAAUUUCAAAUCAA